UCCCGUGUAGCUCAAUGGUGGAGCGGCACAUUACAAGGCGAUGACGGUUGCCGGUUCGAAUCCGGUCACGGGAG
rnacentral:tRNA from 2 species